AGAGUUUGAUCCUGGCUCAGGAUGAACGCUGGCGGCAUGCCUAAUACAUGCAAGUCGAACGAGAGGAAGGAAAGCUUGCUUUUCUGAAUCUAGUGGCGAACGGGUGAGUAACACGUAGGUAACCUGCCCAUGUGCCCGGGAUAACUUCUGGAAACGGAUGCUAAAACCGGAUAGGUAGCAGACAAGCAUUUGACUGCUAUUAAAGUGGCUAAGGCCAUGAACAUGGAUGGACCUGCGGUGCAUUAGCUAGUUGGUGAGGUAACGGCCCACCAAGGCGACGAUGCAUAGCCGGCCUGAGAGGGCGGACGGCCACAUUGGGACUGAGACACGGCCCAAACUCCUACGGGAGGCAGCAGUAGGGAAUUUUCGUCAAUGGGGGGAACCCUGAACGAGCAAUGCCGCGUGAGUGAAGAAGGUCUUCGGAUCGUAAAGCUCUGUUGUAAGAGAAAAACGACAUUCAUAGGGAAUGAUGAGUGAGUGAUGGUAUCUUACCAGAAAGUCACGGCUAACUACGUGCCAGCAGCCGCGGUAAUACGUAGGUGGCGAGCGUUAUCCGGAAUGAUUGGGCGUAAAGGGUGCGUAGGUGGCAGAACAAGUCUGGAGUAAAAGGUAUGGGCUCAACCCGUACUGGCUCUGGAAACUGUUCAGCUAGAGAACAGAAGAGGACGGCGGAACUCCAUGUGUAGCGGUAAAAUGCGUAGAUAUAUGGAAGAACACCGGUGGCGAAGGCGGCCGUCUGGUCUGUUGCUGACACUGAAGCACGAAAGCGUGGGGAGCAAAUAGGAUUAGAUACCCUAGUAGUCCACGCCGUAAACGAUGAGAACUAGGUGUUGGGGGAAUAACUCAGUGCCGCAGUUAACGCAAUAAGUUCUCCGCCUGGGGAGUAUGCACGCAAGUGUGAAACUCAAAGGAAUUGACGGGGGCCCGCACAAGCGGUGGAGUAUGUGGUUUAAUUCGAAGCAACGCGAAGAACCUUACCAGGCCUUGACAUCCCUUGCAGAGGUAUAGAGAUAUAUCCGAGGUUAUCAAGGAGACAGGUGGUGCAUGGUUGUCGUCAGCUCGUGUCGUGAGAUGUUGGGUUAAG
rnacentral:rRNA from 1 species